ensembl:rRNA 5S_rRNA 5S ribosomal RNA
UCCUGAAUGCACACCAUCCUGAAUAUACACCCAGUCUCGGCUGAUCUCGGAAGCAAAGCAGAAUCUGGCCUGGUUAGAACUUGGAUGGGAAAGACCUGCUCAGGGAGCAGGGUUUUCCCUAG